rnacentral:misc_RNA from 1 species
AGGCCGUAACAAGGUCUCCGUUGGUGAACCAGCGGAGGAAUCAUUACCGAGUUUACAACUCCCAAACCCCUGUGAACAUACUAAUUGUUGCCUCGGCGGAUCAGUCCGCUCCCGGUAAAACGGGACGGCCCGCCAGAGGACCCUCAAUAACUCUGUUUCUAUAUGUAACUUCUGAGUAAAACCAUAAAUAAAUCAAAA